CCUUUAGCUUCUUACUGAUACCAAGUACUGUUACUAGUGCUAACCUUUAGCUUCUUACUGAUACUGAGUACUGAUGCUAGUGCUAACCUUUAGCUUCUUACUGAUACUGAGUACUGAUACUAGUGCUAACCUUUAGCUUCUUACUGAUACUGAGUACUGAUGCUAGUGCUAACCUUUAGCUUCUUACUGAUACUGAGUACUGAUACUAGUGCUAACCUUUAGCUUCUUACUGAUACCAAUGCUAACCUUUAGCUUCUUACUGAUACCAAGUACUGUUACUAGUGCUAACCUUUAGCUUCUUACUGAUACCGAGUACUGAUGCUAGUGCUAACCUUUAGCUUCUUACUGAUACUGAGUACUGAUGCUAGUGCUAACCUUUAGCUUCUUACUGAUACUGAGUACUGAUACUAGUGCUAACCUUUAGCUUCUUACUGAUACCAAGUACUGUUACUAGUGCUAACCUUUAGCUUCUUACUGAUACUGAGUACUGAUACUAGUGCUAACCUUUAGCUUCUUACUGAUACCAAGUACUGUUACUAGUGCUAACCUUUAGCUUCUUACUGAUACCGAGUACUGAUGCUAGUGCUAACCUUUAGCUUCUUACUGAUACUGAGUACUGAUGCUAGUGCUAACCUUUAGCUUCUUACUGAUACUGAGUACUGAUGCUAGUGCUAACCUUUAGCUUCUUACUGAUACCGAGUACUGAUGCUAGUGCUAACCUUUAGCUUCUUACUGAUACUGAAUACUGGUACUAGUGUUAACCUUUAGCUUCUUACUGAUACUGAGUACUGAUGCUAGUGCUAACCUUUAGCUUCUUACUGAUACCGAGUACUGAUGCUAGUGCUAACCUUUAGCUUCUUACUGAUACCGAGUACUGAUGCUAGUGCUAACCUUUAGCUUCUUACUGAUACUGAAUACUGGUACUAGUGUUAACCUUUAGCUUCUUACUGAUACUGAGUACUGAUGCUAGUGCUAACCUUUAGCUUCUUACUGAUACCGAGUACUGAUGCUAGUGCUAACCUUUAGCUUCUUACU